rnacentral:rRNA from 1 species
UACAGAGGGUGCAAGCGUUGUUCGGAAUUAUUGGGCGUAAAGCGCGUGUAGGCGGCUUUGCAAGUCGGGUGUGAAAGCCCUCAGCUUAACUGAGGAAGUGCGCCCGAAACUGCAGAGCUUGAAUACCGGAGAGGAUGGCGGAAUUCCCCAAGUAGAGGUGAAAUUCGUAGAUAUGGGGAGGAACACCGGUGGCGAAGGCGGCCAUCUGGACGGCCAUUGACGCUGAGACGCGAAAGCGUGGGGAGCAAACAGG